CCGACCAUAGCUCAAUGGUUAGAGCACUGGUCUUACAUAAACCAGGGUCGUGAGUUUCAAUCCUCACUGGUGGCU